rnacentral:rRNA from 1 species
AUUGAACGCUGGCGGCAGGCUUAACACAUGCAAGUCGAACGAGUGGCGGACGGGUGAGUAAUGCUUGGGAAUCUGGCUUAUGGAGGGGGAUAACGACGGGAAACUGUCGCUAAUACCGCGUAACAUAGGAUGAGCCCAAGUGGGAUUAGGUAGUUGGUGGGGUAAUGGCCUACCAAGCCGACGAUCUCUAGCUGGUCUAUGAGGAUGACCAGCCACACCUGUACGGAUCCACGGUCCAUACCCCUACGGGGGGCACCAGUGGUGAAUAUUGCACAAUGGGCGCAAGCCUGAUGCAGCCAUGCCGCGUGUGUGAAGAAGGUCUUCGGAUUGUAAAGCACUUUAAGUUGGUAGGCGUUACCAACAGAAUAAGCACCGGCUAACUUCGUGCCAGCAGCCGCGGUAAUAC